rnacentral:lncRNA from 1 species
ACACAUACACCUCUAUCACCUUAUUUCUAACCACCAAUAUCACCAACCAUCAAUUAUAGAAUAUACACAAUCUCAUUAGAGCAGAAUUUUUGCACAACAAAGCUCAAGAACAUAAAUUUCGUACUAUACCCAGCAACUUGGCGCAAACGGAUCUCGGAAUCUAGGCCUAACGAGUAAUACGCGGAAAGCUACAGUUUUAAAAUCGCACAUUUUAUGAGGUGUGGAGUAGCAUACUUUGAUAGGCUAGUACCUGUGCAAUCUGUCGAUAGAUACAUGGAGCUUGCACAGGGAGGAGCUGGUCGUUGUGGGCUUGGAUUGUGAUCGACUUGCUAAUCACUUAUGACAUUUGAUACUUUAUUAUGAUGGGUUUUAUUUAUACGCUUCCGCUAAACAGUGAUAACUUACUUAUGUUUUGGAACACCUUUCAUAUGGAUUUGGGUUUGGUUUAAU